ensembl:lncRNA
CACUGACAGGCUUGCCACCACACUGGUUUAAAUAGGUUCUUUGAAAUAAUUAAUUUCCUUCUCUCCAUUGUUGGCUUUUAUUCAUCACUUGGUCUAAGUGCGAUGUGGAUGAGUGUGCAUACUCUGCUCUUCAUCAGUGCUCUCCUCAGGCAUACUGUAACAACACGGUGGGCUCCUACCAGUGUGUCUGCCGCCAAGGGUAUAUUGAUGUUGACCCCAGCAACCCUGGAGCAUUCUGCACAGCUGACCUCAGGGUCUCCAGCACCACGGAGGCCCCACUGACACACCAUCCAGUGAACACGACCUACACCCAGGCUUCCAGCACCACCUCACACCCUCCAGAUAACAGCACCAUGGGUAUCUUUAACUCCUCUGAGACCAGCAUAACCACACCUUUGUCAAGCUCUGUCCCCUAUAAUUCAUCACAUCAUCCCAUGACGAGGACUUCUACACCUUACACCAGCCUGCGCACAAACUCAGCUCUGCCAGCAACUGCAUGUCGUAAGGAAUUUUUCAUUUUUAUAAAUUGCUUUGA